rnacentral:rRNA from 1 species
AGUAAAUAGAUACCCAGGUAGUCCUGGCAGUAAACGGUGCACGUUUGGUGUGGGCGCAAUCGACCGCGUCCGCGCCGGAGCUAAACGCGUUAAACGUGCCGCCUGGGAAGUACGGUCGCAAGAUUAAAACUCAAAGAAAUUGACGGGGACCCGCACAAGCGGUGGAGUAUGUGGCUUAAUUCGAUGCAACGCGAAGAACCUUACCUGGUCUUGACAUGCAUUGUGUCUCCGGUGAAAGCCGGAUAGGGUAGCAAUACCCGCUUUGCACAGGUGCUGCAUGGCUGUCGUCAGCUCGCGUCGUGAGAUGUUGGGUUAAGUCCCGCAACGAGCGCAACCCCUGUGAUUUGUUGCCACCGGCUUAUGCCGAGCACUCGAAUCAGACUGCCUCGAUCAACGAGGAGGAAGGUGGGGAUGACGUCAAGUCCGUAUGGCCCUUACGACCAGGGCUGCACACGUACUACAAUGCCCAGUACAAUGUGAACCGAGACCGCGAGGUGGAGGAAAUCAAUAAAACUGGGCUCAGUUCAGA